rnacentral:ncRNA from 2 species
AUGAAUAUAAAAACAUCAGGUGUCGGACGUUGGCGUUUAUGUUAACGGGUCCGAUGAAAAGGGAAACAGGUGAAAAUCCUGUACGAUCUCGUCACCGUGAUAAAUGAGCAGAGGGAAAUAUGCCACUGAGGAAUCGGGAAGGCUCCUUUCUGUGAUGAAGUUUAAGUCGGGAGACCUGCCUGCUGUUUGUACAAGGA